UUUUAUUGUAUUUACAGAUGUUUAUUUGAAGUACACGAUUUUUUAAGAGAAAAUCAAGUUGUUUUUUUUUAUAUAGUAAAAAAUUAACAGAAUUAUAUGAAUGAUAUGCAUUAUUUUGUUCAUCCUCAUUUUCCUUUCAUAGUAAAAAAGAGUAAUUCCUGUAUUAAUCUGUUAAUAUUUAAAUGAUACUAAAUAAUCAGGGCAAUUUGUGUUGAAUUUACUGGAAAUGAUAAUUAGUUAUCUACCUUUUUUAAUACACAAAUUACCAUUUAGGAAUAAUGAAUUGCCUCCCUUUAGCAGCAAAAGUCAUUUCCAUUUUAUACAAACUACAGGUAGUGUGAAAAUGAUAUUUAAAUGAAUUGAUUAGUAUCUAAAUUUUUUAUGUUAUUUGUUGAAAACUUUUAGUGCAUAUUUUUUCAAUAUAAGUUUUAAUUACUCCAUCUGAAUAUCUUGUCGGAGGUGUUCCAUAAUUGGAAGUAUAUACAUACAGAAGAAGAAGAAGAUUUGUAUUUACAACCAAAGCAAAUUGAUUUAAUUAAACAUGUGUAGCAAACAAUCCAUGUAGUUCAUAAUUAUAAUCCUAAUUGAAUUAUACAUAAGUUCAUUUCUAAACUAUCCUGAAUUAUUUGUAUUACAUAAUCCUCCAACUGGUGCUAUUUUGUGGUAAAAAAAAUUGAUGUCAAAAGACAAAUAUCAUUACGUCACUAUUUUUACAAUGAAGGAUUUUCCCCUGAAUGACACAAAUCAACAGGGACAGUUGUGUCAUAAAAUCAAAAUUAGAAACUAAACUAUUUAAAGAAAUCCCAGGCUCACUAAAAAAAAAAAAAAAGAGAAUUGUCUCCCUUUGAUAAAUAAUUGAUAGAAAGAGGCUUCUGUUAUAUCUACUUCGAGAGAAAUGUUAAAUCAUGUUUAUUAAAAAGAAUAAAAAAACUAAAUUAAAAAAUUCUUGUUGUUUUAAUUUAUUAAUGAUAUUUUUUUUAUAAAAGCAAAUAUUUGGUUGUUUUUUUAUUGGUUUUCAUGUUCACAUUUUUUUAUAAACAGAAAACACAAGUACACUGUGUACACAAAUUUUAAGCAACAAAUAUUAUAACUUUAUAUUUAAAAACACAUCUAUACUUCUUAACAUUACAAUAAAUAAAUUAUUGUUACAACUUAUAAAGAAAAUAAAACAGAAUAUAAAAUGUUUACUUAUAUAUAAUCAAUGUUUUUAAUUUAUUG
rnacentral:lncRNA from 1 species